AUAAUACUUGGGGUUGAACAUCCUGAAAUCGCAAUACGAUUAUGAGGGACACCGUAGUUCACUGAAGGGCCCCAGAAAUUUCAACCACCUGGGGUUCUUAACGACACCUAAAUCCAAGUACAUGAGCCACAGACAUUUAUGCCUCCAUCGAAAAUGCAGCCACUGCAGCUGGCAUUCCACUAUGCGACUUUUGGGCCAGCAGGCUACUUCUUUUGUGAAUCCACCAGGACUAGAGAGAAGAGGAGAUAGAAAAAAAUCGGGGUCAAGGGAGAGGACGGACAGCAGCAGCCCGAGAAAGUGGAUGUUCGAGCUACUGAACUGAUGGAGGUUUUCGCAAUGUAAAUAAAUUAGUUUUGCUAAGUUG